CAGCAGUAGCCGCGGGAAUACGAGGGGGGCAAGCGUUGUUCGGAUUUAUUGGGCGUAAAGGGCGCGUAGGCGGUUUGGCAAGUUUGAUGUGAAAUCUUUGGGCUCAACUCGAAGUCUGCAUCGAAAACUGCCGGGCUUGAGUAUGGGAGAGGUGAGUGGAAUUUCCGGUGUAGCGGUGAAAUGCGUAGAUAUCGGAAGGAACACCUGUGGCGAAAGCGGCUCACUGGACAAUAACUGACGCUGAUGCACGAAAGCUAGGGGAGCAAACAGGAUUAGAGACCCGGGUAGUCCCUGUCUCUUAUAC
rnacentral:rRNA from 1 species